rnacentral:rRNA from 1 species
AUUGAACGCUGGCGGCAUGCUUUACACAUGCAAGUCGAACGGUAACAGGCCGCAAGGUGCUGACGAGUGGCGAACGGGUGAGUAAUGCAUCGGAACGUGCCCAGUCGUGGGGGAUAACGCAGCGAAAGCUGCGCUAAUACCGCAUACGAUCUCUGGAUGAAAGCGGGGGACCGAAAGGCCUCGCGCGAUUGGAGCGGCCGAUGUCAGAUUAGGUAGUUGGUGGGGUAAAGGCCCACCAAGCCAACGAUCUGUAGCUGGUCUGAGAGGACGACCGGCCACACUGGGACUGGGACACGGCCCAGAGUCCUACGGGAGGCAGCAGUGGGGAAUUUUGGACAAUGGGCGCAAGCCUGAUCCAGCAAUGCCGCGUGCAGGAAGAAGGCCUUCGGGUUGUAAACUGCUUUUGUACGGAACGAAACGGUCCGGGUUAAUACCCUGGGCUAAUGACGGUACCGUAAGAAUAAGCACCGGCUAACUACGUGCCAGCCGCCGCUGUAAUAC